UUCAUUGCUGUUCCUGCAAACCCAGAAAUCAAAAUUGCAAUUCUCGCAAUUUUUCCCUCUCAGCACCCAACAAUCGACGACCUCCUCCACCAUCCACGGGAUGGCCUCCUUCACCAUCCACGAGUCACAUACAUACUCCAUUGCCCAUCGACGACCUCCCCUACCAUCCAUGGAUUCGCAAUGCUCUUCUCCUCCACUGCCCAUCGUUGACCUCCUCCACCAUCCAUAGAGUUGCAGUGCACUUCGAUCUCCUCCAUCAUUGCCGACCUCCUUCACAGAUAAGGAAUUGAGAACCUACAAUAGAAUAAAUCAGAAUAAAUCAUAUGCUCAUGUUUUGGGUAUGUCAGGUGCUUGUGUUUGUGUGGUUGUUUUGGGUGCUUGUUAGACUUUGAAUUGGACCAUAUUGAUCAAUUGAUUCUAGCUUCGAGUUAGACUUCAGAUUUUCUGCUUAUCAUGCUUAACGUAAUUUAUAUGUUCGUUAAAGAGUCAUCGUCUAUUUAAAUGUUUGUGCUCAUGUACCUGCACUUUUUGCCUCGACGUUCUUUGAUAUUUAUUUGUUUUCCAAUAUAUCAUUUUCGCCGAUGGUAUCGCUGCAUGUUUGGGCUAGCAAGCGGCCUUAUGGAACCUUGUCUUUACAUGUUAAAAACCUUUGUGUUUAAGUUGAAGACAAAGAAUCACCUACUUUUAAAUGUAGGGAUCUAUCAUGCUUAGCUGUCUACAAAUUACGACCACCAUAUGUGCUAUUUCGACACUAAAAAGAUCCAUCUAUCCACACAAAGUCUUCAAUUCUAUAUGUAUGUCCUCCACAUGUUCUUGUGAUGUGGUUUAGGAAAACUUUAAUUCUGGCUUCUUGAACGGUAUCUUUUGUUGAGGAAAAAAACUUUAGAAAAAGGAGUGGGCUGGUCCCCCAAUUUUCUUUGAGUUCAACCUUUCAGAAAAAAGCAAACCUGAGUCUAAUUUUAUACACCAAAAAUAUGCUUGUAGUAUCAAUCUUAUACACUGAAAAUUUGCAUAUAGUAUCAAAUUAUCAAUUCCCCUGAUUGUCAUUUUAUUUUAGUAUCAAGUUUGUAAAAUAAAAACUAUAAUUUGUUAAAAACCAUGUCUUCCCUAGGCUUGUGCUUUGUGAUGUUAGAAUAAGCAAGUGUGGUUUUUUGUUUGGAACAAAAGUUGUAUUUCCCGUAUCAAACUUCUAUACUUUUUUUUUUUUUUUAAUUUCAUGUUGUGCUUUAAUAUAUCAAGAUUGUUCUUGAUAGAGAAUUGUGGUUUGAAUAAUGCAUUGCAAAAAUGUGUUUAUGAUUCUUAGACUUAUGGCGAGUUUGAGAAAUCUUGAGAGGUGUUUUUUGGCACUUACAAUUUGUAUGAGAAUACAUGGCUUCAAAAUCUCUAUAGUAAGCAAAUGUAAUAGGUUUUUGUAUACCUGAAAUAUACAUUAUGGGGUUGGGAUGAAUACAACUUAGAGGAAUGAGAGCAUGCAUGCCUUUUUUGAUGAAUUUGUAUAUUCAGGGAUUACAUUAAAAGAAUUUGUUGAUCAGUUUGAUAAUGCACUGGGGAAGAAAGUAGAGAAUAAGAUGACAAUAAACUUUCACUCAUUUAAGGCUACAGUCCCAUAUAUCCCAUUUACCCGUGGAGAAGAAAUUUCAAGAAGUAUAUACGAAUUCUAAGUUUAAGGAAGUAGAUGCAGAAGUAAUGAGAAUUAUCUAUUCUCAUUGUAUUCUCAUAAAAACGAAAUGGGCGAUUAUAACAUAUCAAGUUAAUGAUUAUAGGCAAGUUGAAGACUACAUCAAACGAUCAACUUUGCAUGCAUACUUCAAUGAAGAUGAGUGCGAGGCAAAGUGAAUAUAUGGACUAUUUGAGAUGAGAUGAAUUAUAUCUAGACACAUUCUUGCAAUUUUUGCCACAAGGGAUAUCCGAGUGUUGCUAAAAAGGUAUAUUAUGGAUAGGUAGAGGAAAGACGUUAAACGUAGAUAUGCUAAACGUAGAUAUGCUUUCAUUCAAAAUAAUUACGAUGACUUGAGUGGUAAACCAGUUGCUAAUAGGUACUCUAGUUUGAUUAAAAAUAUAUAUAUGUUAUGAAAUAGUUACAAAUGCAGCAGAAAGUGAAGAUAAGUCUAUGGAUAUGGCACAGAAGUUACAUGCAAUGAACUUGAUUUACACUAAAACAAAGCCCCAGCUCAUAGUCGUAGUACCUAGUAAUGAGGGUAUUGAUGUUGAAACUAGAAGUUCUAAAAAAGUGGAGUUCUAGCAUGGUUAGAGGCAAAGGGAGGCCCCCAUCGAAGAGGAAGCUGGUACCUCCAAUAUAGAAGGUUAUAAAGAGGAAAAGUAAACAGACUGAGCUUGGUGGAAAGAGAAAGAGAAAAGAUAUAUUUAAUUUGUUUAUCAUACAAUUUAUGCAAAGUUUUUACUGAAUAUUGAAAAUUUAUUUAUGUAUUGAAUUGUAGGCAAACUCACCUUCGAUGGAUGUAUUGAACAUGAGUGGCACUGCAGUCACAAUAGAUGAGGUAUUAUUGUCUAGCACACAAUUAAGUGUUAAUACACAGGUGGACUUUCUACAUCAUGGCGCUGAUUAGGAUCAUUGAGAGCAAGUAGUUUUGGUGCAUUGAUGAUCAGUUGUUUUUGGAGAAUUUUGUAACUUGGAAAAUAUCUCUAUAUGUGAAUUUUGUAGCUUUGCAACAUGCCAGUAUGGGAGUUUUUGUAGUA